ACACACACACAUGCACAAACACAAGAGAGAGAGGAGGAAGAAAGAGUGAAAUGAGCAAGCCAGCCAGAAGCACAGGGAGACCAUGACAUGCCUUGCUAUUAGCUGAUGGGAAGGCAAUUGUAACUCAACUAUGCAGACUCUCUGCACAUACAACCUGUUGGACCUUGAAGCAGAUGUGAAGGAGAACAGAGGACAACUUACGUACAGUCCCUAAUCAUCAUACCCUUUAAUGGUGGGAACCUGUAAAUGUGCAACAGACAGUGUGCUUUUCUUUCUCUUCUCCUGCAACUCAUCUAAGGAUGCCAUGGAAAUCAAUUAGAGACACAUCAGCAUUGUCUAAGCCACCGGAGGGAGCCCGUUGGAGCAAAUUAGGAGGCUCUCCUCUCUGUUUCACACUUUCUUUCUCAUGGACGAGAGUGCAAAGUGCCAACGCCGGCCCAGCAGCCAGACCCUGAACUUCAAC